rnacentral:rRNA from 1 species
GACGAACGCUGGCGGCGUGCCUAAUACAUGCAAGUCGAGCGAGCGGAACUAACAGAUUUACUUCGGUAAUGACGUUAGGAAAGCGAGCGGCGGAUGGGUGAGUAACACGUGGGGAACCUGCCCCAUAGUCUGGGAUACCACUUGGAAACAGGUGCUAAUACCGGAUAAGAAAGCAGAUCGCAUGAUCAGCUUUUAAAAGGCGGCGUAAGCUGUCGCUAUGGGGUGGCCCCGCGGUGCAUUAGCUAGUUGGUAAGGUAAAGGCUUACCAAGGCGAUGAUGCAUAGCCGAGUUGAGAGACUGAUCGGCCACAUUGGGACUGAGACACGGCCCAAACUCCUACGGGAGGCAGCAGUAGGGAAUCUUCCACAAUGGACGCAAGUCUGAUGGAGCAACGCCGCGUGAGUGAAGAAGGUUUUCGGAUCGUAAAGCUCUGUUGUUGGUGAAGAAGGAUAGAGGUAGUAACUGGCCUUUAUUUGACGGUAAUCAACCAGAAAGUCACGGCUAACUACGUG